rnacentral:rRNA from 1 species
AAAUUACGCCUUCCAUGAAGCUGGAAUUGCUAGUAAUGGCAGGUCAGCAUACUGCCGUGAAUACGUUCCCGGGCCCUUGUACACACCGCCCGUCACACCAUGAGAGUUGGGAAUACCCGAAGCCUGUGAGCUAACUGUAAGGAGGCAGCAGUCGAAGGUAGAAUCAAUGAUUGGGGUGAAGUCGUAACAAGGUACC